UGAAUACGAGAUGCUACGGCGUCGAAGCAGUCUAUGUCAUACUUCCAAGAAAAGCUCGCACUGUCAUAAACAAAUAAUGCCUGUACCAUAACCGACACAGGUGGGUAGGUAGAGUAUACUAAGGGGCGCGAGAUAACUCUCUCUAAGGAACUCGGCAAAAUGACUCCGUAACUUCGGGAGAAGGAGUGCCUUAUUUAUAAGGUUGCAAUAACAAGAUCCAAGCAACUGUUUAUCAAAAACACAGGUCUCCGCUAAGUCGUAAGACGAUGUAUGGGGGCUGACGCCUGCCCAGUGCCAGAAGGUUAAAGAAGUUGGUUAGCAUUCGCGAAGCUGAUAACUGAAGCCCUGGUGAACGGCGGCCGUAACAAUAACGGUCCUAAGGUAGCGAAAUUCCUUGUCGGGUAAGUUCCGACCCGCACGAAAGGCGUAAUGAUUUGGAUACUGUCUCGGAGAGGGGCUCGGUGAAAUAGACUUGUCUGUGAAGAUGCGGACUACCUGCACCAGGACAGAAAGACCCUAUGAAGCUUUACUGUAACUUGAGAUUGAAAUUGGACUUUACUUGCGCAGUAUAGGUGGGAGGCGUUGAUAAUAUUCUUGCGGGAUUAUUUGAGCCAUCAGUGAGAUACCACUCUUGUAAUGUUAGAUUUCUAACUUUGUAUCAUUAUCUGGUCAAAGGACAGUUUCAGGCGGGCAGUUUGACUGGGGCGGUCGCCUCCUAAACGGUAACGGAGGCGCACAAAGGUUUCCUCUGAACGGGUAGAAAUCGUAUCUAGAGUGUAAAGGCAUAAGGAAGCUUGACUGUGAGACCUACAAGUCGAGCAGGGACGAAAGUCGGUCUUAGUGAUCUGACGGUGCUGAGUGGAAAGGCCGUCACUCAACGGAUAAAAGUUACUCUAGGAUAACAGGCUGAUCCCCCCCAAGAGUUCACAUCGACGGGGAGGUUUGGCACCUCGAUGUCGGCUCAUCGCAUCCUGGGGCGGUAGUACGUCCCAAGGGUUGGGCUGUUCGCCCAUGAAAGCGGUACGCGAGCUGGGUUCAGAACGUCGUGAGACAGUUCGGUCCAUAUCCGGUGUAGGCGUUAGAAUAUUGAGAGGAGCCUUCUUUAGUACGAGAGGACCGAGAAGGACAUACCUCUGGUGUACCAGUUAUCGUGCCAACGGUAAACGCUGGGUAGCUAUGUAUGGAGUGGAUAACCGCUGAAAGCAUCUAAGUGGGAAGCCCACCUCAAGAUAAG
rnacentral:rRNA from 1 species